rnacentral:rRNA from 1 species
UGGCCUUGACAUAGUAAGAACCUAAUAGAGAUAUAAGGGUGCUAGUUUACUAGAGCUUACAUACAGGUGCUGCACGGCUGUCGUCAGCUCGUGUCGUGAGAUGUUGGGUUAAGUCCCGCAACGAGCGCAACCCUCGUCGUUAGUUGCUAACAGUUCGGCUGAGAACUCUAACGAGACUGCCUACGCAAGUAGGAGGAAGGUGAGGACGACGUCAAGUCAUCAUGGCCCUUACGACCAGGGCUACACACGUGCUACAAUGGGGUAUACAAAGAGCAGCAAUACGGUGACGUGGAGCGAAUCUCAAAAAUGCCUCCCAGUUCGGAUUGUAGUCUGCAACUCGACUACAUGAAGUUGGAAUCGCUAGUAAUCGUAGAUCAGCUAUGCUACGGUGAAUACGUUCCCGGGUCU